rnacentral:rRNA from 1 species
CCCUUAGAUGUUCUGGGCCGCACGCGUGCUACACUGAGUGGAUCAGCGGGUCAGGUUGCGCGAAAGUGUUUCCUAAUCUUUAAAUCCGCUCGUGAUGGGGAUUGACGGUUGCAAUUUUCCGUCAUGAACGAGGAAUACCUUGUAAGCGCGGGUCAUCAUCCCGCGCUGAAUACGUCCCUGCCCUUUGUACACACCGCCCGUCGCUCCUACCGAUUGAGUGGUCCGGUGAGGCUUUGGGAUCUGAGCGGAAAGAGCGUUUCGCUGUUUCUGCCCGGAAAACUCAGUCGAACCUUAUCAUUAAGAGGAAGGAGAAGUCGUAACA